rnacentral:lncRNA from 1 species
GUAAUUUAAUUCAGUUUGUUAUGAAACUAUCAUAUGAUUUAAUCACCAUUUUUCUCAGUGAGGUUUGACAAAUAUUUUUAUUCGAAGCACAAUCAAUAAUUGCGUGGACAAACCCGAAAACUGCUAAAGGCAUAUUAGGUAAGUGAAAUAAUACCAAACAGACAUGGAAUAGCAAACUUCACUACAUUUGUGGUUUCUUUCAUACAUUGACAUUUUGAAUAGUUUUUUAUAUUACAAAUGACGUACAGUUAAUAUCUUUAUAGUGCUUUUAUGACGUUCCUGCAUGAAAUACUGGCUGAAAAUAAAAAUAAAACAAUUAGCAGACUCCAACUCCUGUACCAAGUCAGGAAUAUGGCAGUUUUAUCCAUUCGUUUUAUGUGUUUGAGCUUUUGAUUUUGACAUGUGAUUAAAGAAAAGUAAAAGCAUAAAAAUACUGAACUCCGCGAAAAAUUCAAAAAGGUAAGUCCCUAAUUAAAUGGCAAAAUCAAAAGCUCAAACACAUCAAACGAAUGAAUAACAACUGUCAUAUUCUUGACAUAAUACAGGCAUUUUUCUUAUGUAGAAAGAUGGUGGAUUGAAAAUGGUUUCAUAUCUAGUUAAACCUCUCACUAGUAUGACAGUCGAAUCAAAUUGUAUUGAAUACGAUGCGUGAACAAAUCAAACAGACACAAUAGGAAAAGAUUUCAAAAUAUUGGUACAGCGGUCAACACUGUGUUAUUUUUUAUCUUUAUAAAAUCAAACAAAUCUAACAAAGAAGCAUAAAAAGGCAAACAUCAAAUUUAACAACCUACAUGCAAUUUUGCUUUUUAUAAUACGUUUUUAUUUAUCUAUAUAAAAUCCACCCAUAAAGGAUUGGAAGAAUUUAAGUAAUGGGGCCGAAUCUUAACAUUGACAGACACAUGGUUAGAAUAACAUAACUCUGACAUAGAACCGUGCGUUUGUAGUCACACAGGUAGAUAGACAAUAUUUUAGUCGUUCAAAGUAUGACGGGACGCAUAAAUACAGGGCCACGUCAAAUGGACAUCACAAAACACAGGUCUUGGUGACUUCCGAUGAAUUUUUUAAGAAGCUGAGACAAUACUGUAGUAUCGGUAUGUUGCAGUAUUAAUUGACAGAUGAACGUUACUGGCAACUUAGAUGCCAAUUGAGUGCUAAAAAUUAAUAAGCGAUUUUUUUCAGACACUAUGGAAUAAUGAAAAUAUUCGACUAUGCUUGGGAAUAUGGAUACGUAAUGUGAAGGACACGUUUAUGUAACCGGGCGACUGGCUACUAAAUUGAAGUUGAUAACGAGCUCAACCCACGACCAGUUGCUGAUGUUGGCGAUGCCACGUUCGGCAAUGACUACGCCUUAGUCAUGUCUAAGAAUAUUCGGUUUAACUCCACUUGUAGAAUUUAACAUAAGUCAAUUUAAUGAUUCAGGAUGGAAUACAUGGAAUUUUAAAAAACUGAGCGUAGGUUGUCAGUACGAAUGCCUGACUCUCACUGAAGUUAGAACUUCAGAAAACAUAUUUAAAUCAAAAAUUGACAUGGUUACAGUAUAUCGAAUGACAAUGAAAUAAUACAAUUACAAUUAAAGGAUUACUUAUAGAAUAUAACAACAAUCUAUCGUUUGAGAUUAAGGCUAAAAAGCGCUAAAUGAAAUUAAGAAGAUCUAUGUAAAGUUGUGACAAUAUCUGUUAUUUGUCAAAGGUAUUAUUUUAGUUUUUAUAAAAGCAUACUUACACUCAAUUGUUACUUAUAACACAAAAAGUGUUAUAAAGAAAACUCGUUACAUGUCGAUAAAAUUACUUUGAUUUGAAAAUAUUGUAAAUGAAAUAAUUUCUAUAAAAUAAUGAUUAGUAUAUCAAUUUUAUUACAUUUUAUGACCGAACAAUUUGUCCGUGAAAGUCAAAAGAGGUAAGAUUUAAGAAAACUGAUCAUUUCAAAUAGUUCCGAAUAAAGAUGCACAAUUUUAAAUACUUAUUAUCGCUAUCACAUUUCAGCGAAAUAGCCAAGUUUGAAGUAUUGUAUAAAUUUGACUGCAGUAAUUUAUAAAAAAUUGAUAAAUAAAAUUGAUAACCUAAAUCAUAUUUCAAACAAACAGAUACCAGUUUGUAUGAUUUUUUUUUUAACUAAAGAAUCGUAACGGUUAAGCAUAACUCUAUACAUUUGAAUAAUUACAUACAUGUACUUCAAUUACUAAUUCAUUUUUGUUUGCGAAAUGUGGGAAACCUAUCAUUUGUCUUCCUCAAUUUUAAUUGUCUUUUUUACGUUGUUGCUAUUUACACAAAGAAGAAUGAGAUAAUUAAACAAAUAUAUUAUUCUUUAAUUUGUAUAAACUGAUAGCCUGGCUCGUAUUGAUAUUAUUGUUAAAUCAUAAAAUAAUUUG